rnacentral:lncRNA from 1 species
CAUCAUCGUCCUUUGAUGAUUUGUUCCCACCGUGUGCCAAGUUACCAUUCCACGGCGUUGAACUUCAACCCUCUCCGGUCUGUCCAAAGAACUUUGUCAUUUUCGACCAGACGUAUGACCACAGCCAAGUCAUGUACCAUCCUGACCUGACACCUAGGCUCGUGAAUUCCGGAUUAGCUUCCACGUUUCAGAACGAGUAUGCUGGGGGAAGUUAUGGUUAUAACUAUGGCCAAGAAGUCUAUGGUAACUAUGGCGGCCAAGAAGUAGUCUCCUCUUCUUACCAAGAAGAUCCGAAUGAGAUUGAUGCUCUCUUGAGCACAGAUGAGGAUGAUGAGGGGGAGGAGGAUGGUGGCGAUUCAGGAGAGGUCAGGACGGCUCGUAACGCUUCAAGGGAUUAUGGGAAUACAUCAGCUGAGUCUUGUUGCUCAAGUUAUGGGUAUAACAGCUCGAGAAGGAAGCAGAGUUCAUCGGCAAGUGCUGCUAGUAGUUCUAAUAAUGAUGGGAAAGGAGGAAGGAAGAAGAAGAUGAAGAAGAUGAUGGGAAUGUUGAGGAAGAUUGUCCCUGGAGGUGAAGAGAUGAAUACAGCUUCCGUUCUUGAUGAAGCUGUUCAGUACCUCAAGUCGCUUAAACUUGAAGCUCAGAAACUUGGCGUUGGACAUUUCUCAAACCAGUCUUGAAUGGUAUCUGGACCGUUUCUUGGCAAGUAAACCGGUCCUGGCUCUAUCUGGACCGCUCUCUCCUCUCUUAAGAUCAUCUUAUGAUAUAUAGUAUGUUGAAUCUCUCUCUCUUUUGUGUGUGUUUGCACAAGCUGUACUUGUGGAUUUGAUUUGAGUUUGGUUUUGUAUCGUUUGAACUUUUACUGUAAUCAUUUGUCAUUUGCUUAGUAACUUUAUGCAUUUUGCAUCUUAUUUAAAAAAAAAACAUUUGGUCUUCUGAUGCUUUACAAGUUGCAUCAUAUGUUGAAACAUUGCAAGGGCCAACAGGUACAUAUAUACACUUGUAACACCUCUUUUCAAAAUGUUAAAUUAAGGUUAUAGCUAACUUUGAAUUAUUUUACCAUCGAUAUGUGACCAAUCUAAUACAUGUUUUUGGGUUAAUAGUCUAAUUUAUUAAAGCAUAAAUAAUAGUGUGUCUUAUGUUUCGACCUGGCUUGUCUUUAAUCUCUGCAGGCAGAAUAUUUCAGACAGUUGCUUAAGCCUGUAACGUAGUCUGGUUUCUUCAGUUUCCGAAAAUUUGGGGGGUCUUUUGGGCGGCUGUCUACUUUUGGUUUCGAAAAAAGGUUUUGUGAGAUAUUAAGUGUUUGGAAAAUUCUGAAAGAGCUGUGUUGACAUCUGAAACUCCUUUGGGUGGAGAAAGCUUCUGGUUUGAGGGGGGUAAGGGCUCGGUUGGAACAAAUCGUGAUAUCUCUUUAGUAACAUGGCCACAAGUUGAUUCUAGCAUCUGGUUCAGUUGUCAACGUUGUGUAACCGAGCAGCUCGUAGUUCUUUAAGGUUUAGGACUUUGUUUUUUUUUUCACUUUUAUAUACCCUUUUGCGCGGGUUUCUCUAAUGCAGAACAAUCAGUAUCCCCACUUCUCUGACGAAAUGGGUGAUGGGAACAUGAACUUCCCAUAUGCAUCAUCGUCCUUUGAUGAUUUGUUCCCACCGUGUGCCAAGUUACCAUUCCACGGCGUUGAACUUCAACCCUCUCCGGUCUGUCCAAAGAACUUUGUCAUUUUCGACCAGACGUAUGACCACAGCCAAGUCAUGUACCAUCCUGACCUGACACCUAGGCUCGUGAAUUCCGGAUUAGCUUCCACGUUUCAGAACGAGUAUGCUGGGGGAAGUUAUGGUUAUAACUAUGGCCAAGAAGUCUAUGGUAACUAUGGCGGCCAAGAAGUAGUCUCCUCUUCUUACCAAGAAGA